UGCGUAGGCGGCGCGGAAAGUUGGGUGUGAAAUCCCUCGGCUCAACCGAGGAAUUGCGCUCAAAACUACCGUGCUCGAGGGAGAUAGAGGAGUGCGGAACUUAGGGUGGAGCGGUGAAAUGCGUUGAUAUCCUAGGGAACACCGGUGGCGAAAGCGGCACUCUGGAUCUCAUCUGACGCUGAUGCACGAAAGCUAGGGUAGCAAACGGGAUUAGAUACCCCGGUAGUCCUAGCCGUAAACGAUGAGCACUGGAUUGAAGGCCCCCUCAUAGGCUUUCAGUCGCAGAGAAAUUGUUUAGUGCUCCGCCUGGGGAGUAUGGUCGCAAGGCUGAA
rnacentral:rRNA from 1 species